UACGUAGGUGACAAGCGUUGUCCGGAUUUACUGGGCGUAAAGAGCGCGCAGGCGGUCGAUCAAGUCGAGUGUGAAAGCCCCCGGCUCAACUGGGGAGGGUCAUUCGAAACUGGUCGACUCGAAGGCAGGAGAGGGUAGUGGAAUUCCCGGUGUAGUGGUGAAAUGCGUAGAUAUCGGGAGGAACACCAGUGGCGAAGGCGACUACCUGGCUGUUCUUGACGCUGAGGAGCGAAAAGCAUGGGGGAGCGAACAGG
rnacentral:rRNA from 1 species